GGCCUCCCAAUUCUUACCACAGGCUGUAUACACUGUGUAUACACUGCUGUAUAGAAAGAGGAGGUACAGUAAAUGCACCCCAUAUACACCUAAACCCAGGCCCUUUGCCUGGUCUGUAUUGUGAAUUGGAGACAAAA